ACUCCUACGGGAGGCAGCAGUGGGGAAUCUUGCGCAAUGGGCGAAAGCCUGACGCAGCAACGCCGCGUGGGGGAUGAAGGCUCUCGGGUUGUAAACCCCUUUCAGCAGGGACGAAUCAAGACGGUACCUGCAGAAGAAGCCCCGGCUAACUACGUGCCAGCAGCCGCGGUAAU
rnacentral:rRNA from 1 species